rnacentral:rRNA from 1 species
CAUAGCGACUAUCGUGGCAUAUCAAUAAGCGGAGGAAAAGAAACUAACAAGGAUUCCCUUAGUAACGGCGAGUGAAGCGGGAAGAGCUCAAAUUUGAAAUCUUCAAGGUUUUACCUUGACGAAUUGUAGUUUAAAGAAGUGUUUUCUGUUGGAGUUUUGGUAAAAGUUCUUUGGAAUAGGACAUCAUAGAGGGUGAGAAUCCCGUAUUUGACCAUUAUUUCCAGCUGUGUGAUACACUUUCAAGCGAGUCGGAUUGUUUGGGAAUGCAGUCCAAAAUGGGUGGUAAAUUUCAUCUAAAGCUAAAUAUUGGCGAGAGACCGAUAGUGAACAAGUACCGUGAGGGAAAGAUGAAAAGAACUUUGAAAAGAGAGUUAAACAGUACGUGAAAUUGUCAAAAGGGAAGCGUUUGACACCAGUGUUGUUUUCUCGGAAAUCAAUUAAAAAUGAUGGGAUUUUGUGUUGUAUUGACUUUAAUCAGCUUUCUUCACUUUUUCUUGAUCUUUUUUAAUGCACUUUUCGUUUAACAAGUCAACAUCAGUUUCUUUUGUUGUAAAAGAGGUCAUUGGAAGGUGGCUUUUCUUUCGGAGAAAGUGUUUAUAGCCUUUGAUCUUCUGCAAUCGGAGAGAUUGAGGUCUGCAGCGUAGAUCCUUCGGGGUUAAAUACAUUUGUGCUAAGCUAUAGUUCUUUAUAGACAACUUGUUGACUAUAUCUAGUCCUGUAGGCUUACUCGCUUAUGCUAUUUUACCUACGCUUAGGAUGUUGAUAUGCAUGACUGAUAU